AAAAAAAAAGAAAAAAAAGAAAAAAGAAAUAGAGUUCAAAAGCUGUGUUACUAAAACCACUUACGCAACUGCCACUAAGACACCAGUGUGUCCUCGGCGUUACGGCCAGACAGAGUCCUGACCUCCAUAUUGGUCGGGUUGGGGGCAGAUCUUCCCAGGAUCCUCCCUACAAAGAGAGGAAAGCGUCUCCCAGUCUUCACUUCCAGAAGGGUUGUCUCUGUCAAACCACUCUGUCGAGCCCUUGGAGGGAAAAAAAAAAAAAAAAAAAAAAACACUGUUCAGAAAGAAACAUAAA